UUUGUACUUUGAGUAGAGAAGGGGUUUCACCAUGUUGGCCAUGCUGGUCUUGAACUCCCAACCUCAGGUGUUCCACCUGCCUCAGCCUCCCAAAGUGCUGGGAUUACAGGCAUGAGCCACCGUGCCCAGCCAAUAAACUAUAUUUUCUCAAGGCAAAGUAGACAUGCAAAGUCUAAAAAGGAAAAAAUCAGUUUGACUAAGGUUCUUUAUCCAGGCUGUUUUUUUAUUUUUAAUCACUUCCAAGCUGCUGAAAACAAAUGCUGCUUCUCAUCUGGGAGCUGGUCCUGGGGACGCUGGAGAAGUUCAGGCUCAUCCAUUCUUUAGACACAUUAACUGGGAAGAACUUCUGGCUGGAAAGGUGGAGCCCCCCCUUUAAACCUCUGUUGGUGUGUAUACAUGAAAGCAUAUAAUUGGGUGCAAGGGCUCAUACCUGU
rnacentral:lncRNA from 10 species